AGCGAACGCUGGCGGCAGGCCUAACACAUGCAAGUCGAACGAGGUCUUCGGACCUAGUGGCGGACGGGUGUGUAACACGUGGGAACGUGCCCUUUGGUACGGAAUAACUCAGGGAAACUUGAGCUAAUACCGUAUGUGCCCUUCGGGGGAAAGAUUUAUCGCCAUUGGAGCGGCCCGCGUCUGAUUAGCUAGUUGGUGAGGUAACGGCUCACCAAGGCGACGAUCAGUAGCUGGUCUGAGAGGAUGACCAGCCACAUUGGGACUGAGACACGGCCCAAACUCCUACGGGAGGCAGCAGUGGGGAAUCUUGCGCAAUGGGCGAAAGCCUGACGCAGCCAUGCCGCGUGGAUGAUGAAGGUCUUAGGAUUAUAAAAUCCUUUCACCGGUGAAGAUAAUGACUGUAGCCGGAGAAGAAGCCCCGGCUAACUUCGUGCCAGCCGCCGCAGUAAAAC
rnacentral:rRNA from 1 species